UACGUAGGUGGCAAGCGUUGUCCGGAGUUAUUGGGCGUAAAGCGCGCGCAGGCGGUUCGGCAAGUCCAUGGUGGAAGCGCCCGGCUCAACUGGGCGAGUGCCGUGGGGACUGCCGAGCUGGAGGGGAGCAGAGGCGAGUGGAAUUCCGGGUGUAGUGGUGAAAUGCGUAGAGAUCCGGAGGAACACCAGUGGCGAAGGCGGCUCGCUGGGCUCUAACUGACGCUGAUGCACGAAAGCUAGGGGAGCAAACAGG
rnacentral:rRNA from 1 species